rnacentral:lncRNA from 1 species
ACUUCUAAGUUUUAAAACCCCGCUGCCCCUUACCUGUGCGGACUCUUUCUCCAGAUCCCCUCCCACGGCAACUUGGGAGAUGUCUCUCCCUCUUUACCUGUACAGAUGUUCCUCUCUGGAAUCCCCUCCCACAACAAGAUGCCACAAGAAGUCCCUCAGCAUAUGCCGGAUCUUGAUAUUAGACUUCCCAGGCUCUAGAAGUAAAUACCUGCCUCAACCUACUCAGGUUUCAACCUCCUCCAUUUUCAUGAUAAUUUGAAGAUACCUACCUGACACAUAGUAAAUGUGAAGAUCAUUGACAAAAAAAAUUGGGGUUGAAAAUAUGGCUUGCUAGCUACCAUCCAUUUCAAUAUUCUUCUAAAAUGCUUUCUUCCUUGGCAAAAUUAAAAAUCUAAAAACUGUAUUUCCCAGAGUCCUUUGCAUUGUUGUUCUUGGUUUGAUUUAACUGACACCACAUAGAUAUACUCCUGCAAUUUUGACAAAUGGAAGGGAAGAAUAUUUUGUAGGCCACUCUUUCUAUUUCUUCAGGCAAAUAUCAUCGUGGAUAUUUUCAUUGUUUUUCUCUCAGCUUCCUGGUACUCAUGUUUUCUGAUCAUGGUGGCUUCCAAACUUAAUUGCCUUACUUAAAUUGUGUUUGUCUCAUCCUAGUUAUGUAGUCAGAAGUUGUUAUGGCAGCUUCCUAAAUAGGCUAAGCCAGAGCUGCCUUAGCUACCUGGUUCUUUAGAAUAAUUCCAAUGUCAUUUCUAAAAUCUAAAUUAAGCUUAUUUUUUUAACUUUCCCAAUGGUAUUAUAAUGCAUUUCAUAGAUAACAGUAUUUUCUUUCUGAUAGGAAGUAAAUUCCAUAAACGUAGAAAUGUGGUCUAUUUUUUUUUACUGAUGCAUGCAGAUACAAAUGCCUAAAACAGUGCUUGGUCCCAAGAGUCUGCUUAACAUGGUAAUAAAUGCCCUAGACAUAAUCACUCAAUAACAUUUUCUUUUUCUAUAGACUCGUGCAAUUAGAAAUUCAGUCUGUCUCACACACCAUGCAUUUCUCUUUUUACCAUAAAGUCUCUCAGCCUUUGGAUUAUUCAAAACAUGUAUUUCAAGAAACUAGAUGUGAAUCAUGGACUACCAAUAC